GAGGCCUUAGCUUAAUUAAAGUGUCUGAGUUGCAUUCAGUUGAUGCGGGAUAGAACCCUGCAGGUCUUA
rnacentral:tRNA from 1 species